UACGUAGGGUGCGAGCGUUAAUCGGAAUUACUGGGCGUAAAGCGUGCGCAGGCGGUUUGUUAAGUCAGAUGUGAAAUCCCCGGGCUUAACCUGGGAACUGCAUUUGUGACUGGCGAGCUAGAGUAUGGCAGAGGGGGGUAGAAUUCCACGUGUAGCAGUGAAAUGCGUAGAGAUGUGGAGGAAUACCGAUGGCGAAGGCAGCCCCCUGGGCCAAUACUGACGCUCAUGCACGAAAGCGUGGGGAGCAAACAGG
rnacentral:rRNA from 1 species